AGGGUUCGAUUCUGGCUCAGGAUGAACGCUAGCUACAGGCUUAACACAUGCAAGUCGUGGGGCAGCAUGGUCUUAGCUGCUAAGACUGAUGGCGACCGGCGCACGGGUGAGUAACGCGUAUCCAACCUGGCCCACAGUAGGGGAUAGCCCGGCGAAAGUCGGAUUAAUACCCUAUGUUUUCCUUUGAGAGCAUUUGACGAGGAACAAAGAUCAUCGCUAUGGGAUGGGGAUGCGUCCGAUUAGCUUGACGGCGGGGUAACGGCCCACCGUGGCUUCGAUCGGUAGGGGUUCUGAGAGGAAGGUCCCCCACAUUGGAACUGAGACACGGUCCAAACUCCUACGGGAGGCAGCAGUGAGGAAUAUUGGUCAAUGGGCGAAGGCCUGAACCAAGCCAAGUAGCGUGAGGGAUGACUGCCCUACGGGUUGUAAACCUCUUUUGCGGGGGAAUAAAGUGCGGGACGCGUCCCGUUUUGUAUGUACCCUGAGAAUAAGGACCGGCUAAUUCCGUGCCAGCCGCGGC
rnacentral:rRNA from 1 species